rnacentral:rRNA from 1 species
AGAGCGGCGUACGGGUGCGGAACACGUGUGCACUGCCUUUAUCUGGGGGAUAGCCUUUCGAAAGGAAGAUUAUACCCCAUAAUAUGUUGAAUGGCAUCAGUCGACAUUGAAAAACUCCGGUGGAUGGAGAUGGGCACGCGCAAGAUUAGAUAGUUGGUGAGGUAACGGCUCACCAAGUCUACGAUCUUUAGGGGGCCUGAGAGGGUGAUCCCCCACACUGGUACUGAGACGCGGACCAGACUCCUACGGGAGGCAGCAGUGAGGAAUAUUGGACAAUGGGUGAGAGCCUGAUCCAGCCAUCCCGCGUGAAGGACGACUGCCCUAUGGGUUGUAAACUUCUUUUGUAUAGGGAUAAACCUACCCUCGUGAGGGUAGCUGAAGGUACUAUACGAAUAAGCACCGGCUAACUCCGUGCCAGCAGCCGCGGUAAUACGUAGGUGGCAAGCGUUGUCCGGAUUUAUUGGGUUUAAAGGGUGCGUAGGCGGUGAUUUAAGCCAGUGGUGAAAUACGGCAGCUUAACUGUCGAGGUGCCAUUGAUACUGGGUCACUUGAGUACUGAUGAGGUAGGCGGAAUGGACGGUGUAGCGGUGAAAUGCUUAG